rnacentral:rRNA from 1 species
UGCAGUCGAGCGGUAGCACAGGAGAGCUUGCUCUCUGGGUGACGAGCGGCGGACGGGUGAGUAAUGUCUGGGAAACUGCCUGAUGGAGGGGGAUAACUACUGGAAACGGUAGCUAAUACCGCAUAACGUCUUCGGACCAAAGUGGGGGACCUUCGGGCCUCACGCCAUCAGAUGUGCCCAGAUGGGAUUAGCUAGUAGGUGGGGUAAUGGCUCACCUAGGCAACGAUCCCUAGCUGGUCUGAGAGGAUGACCAGCCACACUGGAACUGAGACACGGUCCAGACUCCUACGGGAGGCAGCAGUGGGGAAUAUUGCACAAUGGGCGCAAGCCUGAUGCAGCCAUGCCGCGUGUGUGAAGAAGGCCUUCGGGUUGUAAAGCACUUUCAGCGAGGAGGAAGGGUAGUGUGUUAAUAGCACAUUGCAUUGACGUUACUCGCAGAAGAAGCACCGGCUAACUCCGUGCCAGCAGCCGCGGUAAUACGGAGGGUGCAAGCGUUAAUCGGAAUUACUGGGCGUAAAGAGCACGCAGGCGGUUUGUUAAGUCAGAUGUGAAAUCCCCGCGCUUAACGUGGGAACUGCAUUUGAAACUGGCAAGCUAGAGUCUUGUAGAGGGGGGUAGAAUUCCAGGUGUAGCGGUGAAAUGCGUAGAGAUCUGGAGGAAUACCGGUGGCGAAGGCGGCCCCCUGGACAAAGACUGACGCUCAGGUGCGAAAGCGUGGGGAGCAAACAGGAUUAGAUACACUGGUAGUCCACGCUGUAAACGAUGUCGACUUGGAGGUUGUGCCCUUGAGGCGUGGCUUCCGGAGCUAACGCGUUAAGUCGACCGCCUGGGGAGUACGGCCGCAAGGUUAAAACUCAAAUGAAUUGACG